rnacentral:rRNA from 1 species
AUGCACGCUGGCGGCGUGCCUCAUCCAUGCAAGUCGAGCGAACAGACGAGGAGCUUGCUCCUCUGAUGUUAGCGGCGGACGGGUGAGUAACACGUGGAUAACCUACCUAUAAGACUGGGAUAACUUCGGGAAACCGGAGCUAAUACCGGAUAACAUGUUGAACCGCAUGGUUCAACAGUGAAAGACGGUCUUGCUGUCACUUAUAGAUGGAUCCGCGCCGCAUUAGCUAGUUGGUAAGGUAACGGCUUACCAAGGCAACGAUGCGUAGCCGACCUGAGAGGGUGAUCGGCCACACUGGAACUGAGACACGGUCCAGACUCCUACGGGAGGCAGCAGUAGGGAAUCUUCCGCAAUGGGCGAAAGCCUGACGGAGCAACGCCGCGUGAGUGAAGAAGGUCUUCGGAUCGUAAAACUCUGUUAUUAGGGAAGAACAAAUGUGUAAGUAACUAUGCACGUCUUGACGGUACCUAAUCAGAAAGCCACGGCUAACUACGUG